CCUACGGGGGGCAGCAGUGGGGAAUAUUGCGCAAUGGGCGAAAGCCUGACGCAGCGACGCCGCGUGAGGGAUGAAGGUCUUCGGAUUGUAAACCUCUGUCAGCAGGGAAGAACGGUCACUGUGCUAAUCAGUAGUGAAUUGACGGUACCUGCAAAGAAAGCACCGGCUAACUCCGUGCCAGCAGCCGCGGUAAUACGGAGGGUGCGAGCGUUAAUCGGAAUUACUGGGCGUAAAGCGGUCGUAGGCGGUAUGUCAAGUCAAGGGUGAAAUCCCCGCGCUCAACGUGGGAACUGCCUUUGAAACUGGCAGACUUGAGUGUGUGAGAGGUAAGUGGAAUUCCAGGUGUAGCGGUGAAAUCCGUAGAUAUCUGGAAGAACAUCAGUUGCGAAGGCAGCUUACUGGCACAUAACUGACGCUGAGGAGCGAAAGCGUGGGUAGCAAACAGGAUUAGAUACCCGAGUAGUC
rnacentral:rRNA from 1 species